UACGUAGGGUGCGAGCGUUAAUCGGAAUUACUGGGCGUAAAGCGUGCGCAGGCGGUUUUGUAAGCCAGGGGUGAAAUCCCCGGGCUCAACCUGGGAAUGGCAUUUGGGACUGCAAGGCUGGAGUGCGGCAGAGGAGACUGGAAUUCCUGGUGUAGCAGUGAAAUGCGUAGAGAUGUGGAGGAAUACCGAUGGCGAAGGCAGCCCCCUGGGCCAAUACUGACGCUCAUGCACGAAAGCGUGGGGAGCAGACAGG
rnacentral:rRNA from 1 species